rnacentral:rRNA from 1 species
GACAGAGGUGCCGAGCGUUAGGCGGAAUCACUGGGCUUAAAGCGUGUGUAGGCGGGCCGUUAAGUAUCUUGUGAAAUCCCCCGGCUCAACCGGGGAAUGGCUGGAUAUACUGGCGGUCUUGAGCAAUUCAGGGGCAGAUGGAACAGACGGUGGAGCGGUGAAAUGUGUUGAUAUCAUCAGGAACUCCGGUGGCGAAAGCGGCGUGCUGGACCUUACUGACGCUGAGGCGCGAAAGCCAGGGGAGCAAACGGG